UACGGAGGGUGCGAGCGUUGUCCGGAAUCACUGGGCGUAAAGAGCGUGUAGGCGGCUCGGUAAGUCCGCUGUGAAAGUCCAGGGCUCAACCCUGGAAUGCCAGUGGAAACUGUCGAGCUAGAGUCCGGAAGAGGCGAGUGGAAUUCCUGGUGUAGCGGUGAAAUGCGCAGAUAUCAGGAGGAACACCAAUGGCGAAGCAGCUCGCUGGGACGGUAGCUGACGCUGAGACGCGAAGCGUGGGGAGCAACAGG
rnacentral:rRNA from 1 species